UCGCGCCCCGCCUGGCCACGCAGCGCUGGCCCGCAGGGAUGCCCGGCGACGGAGGCGCAAGCAGCCACGUCCUGGCGCCGGCAUUUCCCGUGUCAAUGCCAGUCACGACCAUGGCCGUUAUCAGCCGGGCAUGGGCUUCAGCUUUGCGCAGCGAUAAGAUGGCCUUCAUGUCCUGGGUCUGCCCGUCCUCGCACUCUGUCUAAGCAGGCGAAUAGCACAUCUCCACAACAGACCGCCUGCAGCCUGCAACUCGUCACAGGUCCUCAGCCACCGAGGCUUUGCAUAUGCUGUUAACAACCGCCGCUUUACACAGCUGUGAGGGAGUGACAGUUGAGGCCCAACUUACGUCUAAAGGAGAAGCAAGGAAGAUAACAGAAGCAGAUGAGAAAACGGAGGCAAAGAAGAAUAAAGUAACUUGUUCAAAAUAGCAGUGAAUAAAAGGCAGAUCCAGGACUGAAAUCAAGUCAUCUGGCUACCACACAUCUUAUGCUAGACUCAGGCCCAUCAUGUCAAAGAAGACCAAGAGAAUGCUGAUGGAAGGAAGCAGAUUUCUUUAAUGAGGACUGGGAAUUGCAAUAUUAUCUUGUUUCUGCUAAAGAUAAGAUAAUUUGC